ensembl:snRNA U6 U6 spliceosomal RNA
GUGCUCGCUUCAGCAGCACACACUAAAACUGGAACGAGACAGCAAAGGUUAGCAUGGCACCUAUGCAAGGGUGACACGCAAACUAAUGAAUUGUUCCUUAUUUUU